rnacentral:rRNA from 1 species
AAGUCGUAACAAGGUUUCCGUAGGUGAACCUGCGGAAGGAUCAUUAAAGAAUGCCCCGUUUUUUGAAAUGGGUUCUGUUCCCAAACCGUGUAUACAUACUUUUGUUGCUUUGGCAGGCCGCCUUCGGGCGUCGGCUCACGCUGACAGCGCCUGCCAGAGGACCCAAACUCGUUUGUUUAGUGAUGUCUGAGUACUAUAUAAUAGUUAAAACUUUCAACAACGGAUCUCUUGGUUCUGGCAUCGAUGAAGAACGCAGCGAAAUGCGAUAAGUAAUGUGAAUUGCAGAAUUCAGUGAAUCAUCGAAUCUUUGAACGCACAUUGCGCCCGCUGGUAUUCCGGCGGGCAUGCCUGUUCGAGCGUCAUUAUGACCAAUCAAGCUCUGCUUGGCCUUGGGGCCCGCUGUACCGGCGGCCCUUAAAAUUAGUGGCGGUGCCGUCUGGGUCUAAGCGUAGUAAUACUUCUCGCUAUAGGGUCCAGUCGUUUACCCGCCAGAACCCCCAACUUUCUUAGGUUGACCUCGGAUCAGGUAGGGAUACCCGCUGAGCUUAA